rnacentral:lncRNA from 1 species
GACUCGUCACGCACGGAACUGCACUGCAGGAGCGGUGUACACCUAUCACGAGAAACAGAAGGACACGCAGACUUGCGGCUAUGACGCACGCAGCGAAUGCGCCUCGGCAAGGACGCCGUCAAAGAUUUCGACUGCUGCUGCCUGUCGUUACAGCCGUGCCGAAACCCCGUCAUCACACCAGAAGACUAG